GUGAUCAUCGAAUCUUUGAACGCACCUUGCACUCCUUGGUAUUCCGAGGAGUAUGCCUGUUUGAGUGUCAUUAAAUUCUCAAACUUUUUUUCCUUGUUUAAUCUUGGAGGACAAGUUUGGAUAUGAGAGUUUGCUGGUUUUUCUAAAUCAGCUCUCUUUAAAUUCAUUAGUAGAUUUGGCUUUGUUCCACAUUCUCAAUUGAUGUGAUAGUUAUCUACAUCAUUAGAGAUUGAAUUUAUCUGCUUAUAACUGUCUUUUGGACAUACUUUUUGACAAUUUGACCUCAAAUCAGGUAGGACUACCCGCUGAACUUAAGCAUAUCAAUAAGCGGAGG
rnacentral:rRNA from 1 species